CAAGAGGAGUUUGCUACCCUCUUAGGUAUAGGUGUAUGUCAUGCUAUGUAUUUGACUUAGUAUAUCUUGUUGUAAGAGUCACGAGCAAAUAUUUAUUGAAUGCAAGUUGGGAGCAUUCGAUUGUAGUGAAAACAUCCCCAAGUACUUGAGAAGCACUAAGGGGUUAUUUCUAAUUUUUGAAGAAGGGUUACAGCUAAGAGUGGGAGGAUACACUAAUGCUGAUGGUAGAAUAUCUACAUCAGUAUGUAUUCUUGAGUUAUAUUAUUUUGAUAUGUUAGAAAGGUUCCAAGCAACCAACC
rnacentral:lncRNA from 1 species